rnacentral:rRNA from 1 species
GAUGAACGCUGGCGGCGUGCUUAACACAUGCAAGUCGAACGGAAAGGCCCUGCUUUUGUGGGGUGCUCGAGUGGCGAACGGGUGAGUAACACGUGAGUAACCUGCCCUUGACUUUGGGAUAACUUCAGGAAAAUGGGGCUAAUACAGGAUAGGAGCUUCUGCAGCAUGGUGGGGGUUGGAAAGUUUCGGCGGUUGGGGAUGGAUUCGCGGCUUAUCAGCUUGUUGGUGGGGUAGUGGCUUACCAAGGCUUUGACGGGUAGCCGGCCUGAGAGGGUGACCGGCCACAUUGGUACUGAGAUACGGCCCAGACUCCUACGGGAGGCAGCAGUGGGGAAUAUUGCACAAUGGGCGCAAGCCUGAGGCAGCAACGCCGCGUGCGGGAUGACGGCCUUCGGGUUGUAAACCGCUUUCGCCUGUGACGAAGCGUGAGUGACGGUAAUUGGUAAAGAAGCACCGGCUAACUACGUG